GACGUACCGUCCAAACGUUAUUCGGAAUUACUGGGCUUAAAGGGUGCGUAGGCGGUCCGCUAAGUUGGGUGUGAAAGACCUCGGCCUAACCGAGGAAAUGCGCCCAAAACUGUCGGACUCGAGCAAGGCAGAGGUGAACGGAACUUAGGGUGGAGCGGUGAAAUGCGUUGAUAUCCUAAGGAACACCAGUAGCGAAAGCGGUUCACUGGGCCUUUUCUGACGCUGAUGCACGAAAGCCAGGGGAGCGAACGGG
rnacentral:rRNA from 1 species